rnacentral:rRNA from 1 species
AUGAAUGUCUUAAGCUGGAACUGCCGGGGAGGGGGGAAUACCCGGACAGUUCAUGAGUUAGCGACUAUCUGUCAGUCGCAUUCCCCCAGUAUAGUGUUUUUGUGUGAAACAAGACAUAAGGCUGAGAAAAUAAAAAAGGUGUGUGGGAGGAUUGGUUUGAAGGGUUUUGUUGGGGUUGACAGUAAUGGUAUGAGUGGUGGUCUCGCUCUUUUUUGGCAUGAGAACUACGAAGUGGAGAUCUUGGAUAAAGAAAAACACUUUAUAGAUGCAGUGGUCCGUGUCCAGGAGGGGUCGGCGCAAUGGAGGAUCACUUGUAUUUAUGGUGAACCACGGGUAGAAAACAGGCACAUCAUGUGGUAAAAAAUCGAGCAGUUAAAAGUUGUGAAUGACCUACCUUGGCUUGUAGUCGGCGACUUCAACGAGGCCAUGUGGGACUUUGAACAUCUAUCUGCUACACCGCGUGGAGAGCCACAAAUGAUUGCUUUUCGGGAUACGUUGGAGACCUGUGGCCUAGUUGACCUUGGCUUCGUUGGUGUUCCCUUCACAUAUGAUAAUAAGAGGGGAGGAGGAGGUAAUGUGAAGGUAAGGCUGGACAGGGCAGUUGCAACUAAUGCGUGGAGGAACUUGUUUGCAUAUGCUACAGUGGUGCAUGUUCCUUCGCCUUGUUCAGAUCAUGUGGCCCUUGUCCUAAAGGGUUCGGCCGAUCCGGGGCCGCUAGGUGGAAAGCAGAGGAGGUAUGAGGUGUUUUGGGAGCGUGAUGAGUCACUACCUGAGGUGAUAAAGGAGGCCUGGGAAGCAGUGGGGGGAGUUCAUAAUAUGUCUCAGUUGCGGGACGCUCUGUCUAAAACAAUGACAACUCUCAGGGUUUGGAGCAAAAAAAUUAGUAAUAUCACCAGAGAGAUUGCCAAGUCCCGCACUCAGCUAGAGGAGUUGAUGAAUAUGAACGCUGACCGCCAAGAUAUCGCAAGAGUGACGGACAAGAUGAACAAGCUUUUGUACCAAGAGGAGAUGCUUUGGUUACAACGAUUGCGUAUCACGUGGUUGAAGGAGGGGGAUAGAAAUACAAAAUAUUUUCAAAGCAAAGCAGUCUAG